CCUACGGUGGGCAGCAGUGAGGAAUAUUGGUCAAUGGACGAGAGUCUGAACCAGCCAAGUCGCGUGAAGGAGGACUGUCCUAUGGGUUGUAAACCUCUUUUAUAUGGGAAUAAAAUGUUCCACGUGUGGGAUGUUGUGUGUACCAUAUGAAAAAGGAUCGGCUAACUCCGUGCCAGCAGCCGCGGUAAUACGGAGGAUGCGAGCGUUAUCCGGAUUUAUUGGGUUUAAAGGGAGCGUAGGUGGGUUGUUAAGUCAGUUGUGAAAGUUUGCGGCUCAACCGUAAAAUUGCAGUUGAAACUGGCAGUCUUGAGUACGGGAGAGGUAGGCGGAAUUCGUGGUGUAGCGGUGAAAUGCUUAGAUAUCACGAAGAACUCCGAUUGCGAAGGCAGCUUACUGGACUGCAACUGACACUGAGGCUCGAAAGUGUGGGUAUCAAACAGGAUUAGAUACCCUUGUAGUC
rnacentral:rRNA from 1 species